rnacentral:piRNA from 1 species
UGACAAAGCCCAUUAGCAGUCGGUAUUUUGU